rnacentral:rRNA from 1 species
GGAAUGAGUUAAGUAUAAACCCCUUUACAAGUAUCAAUUGGAGGGCAAGUCUGGUGCCAGCAGCCGCGGUAAUUCCAGCUCCAAUAGCGUAUAUUAAAGUUGUUGCAGUUAAAAAGCUCGUAGUUGGAUUUCUGUUAAUAAUUUAUAUAAAAUAUUUUGAUGAAUAUUUAUAUAAUAUUAACAUAAUUCAUAUUACUAUAUAUUUUAGUAUAUGAAAUU